GGCGAUAUCGUCUAGUGGUUAGGACGUUCGGUUUUGACGCGAACAUUUUCCGAAUAACUUGGGUUCAAUCCCCAAUAUCGCCU